GCCCUGGGACAGCUGGGGGGGAGGUGGCUGCAGUCACUGAGGGUGUCAUUUGUACCCAGCUGGCCAUGCAGUUCAUCAGCCAGUACAGCCCUGAGGACAUCGUCACGGCACAGAUAGAGGGCAGCUCCGGGGCGCUGUGGCGCAUUAGCCCACCAAGCCGUGCCCAGAUGAAGCGGGAACUCUACAACGGCACGGCCGACAUCACCCUGCGCUUCACCUGGAACUUCCAGAGGUGCGUCCUGGACUUGGGGCAGUGCCUGGGUGGGUGAACCCACCACAGUGGGUGACGCUGUGUUCCCACCCACAGGGACCUGGCCAAGGGAGGCACCGUGGAGUAUGCCAACGAGAAGCACAUGCUGGCCCUGGCCCCCAACAGCACUGCACGGCGGCAGCUGGCCAGCCUGCUCGAGGGCACCUCGGACCAGUCUGUGGUCAUCCCCAAUCUCUUCCCCAAGUACAUCCGUGCCCCCAACGGGCCCGAAGCCAACCCUGUGAAGCAGCUGCAGCCCAGUGAGUGUGGGUGUGGGGGUUGGGGGAGGCUAGAGAGGGGUGACCUGCGGCCCCAACCGUCUUUUCGCUCUGCCCCAGAUGAGGAGGCCGACUACCUCGGCGUGCGUAUCCAGCUGCGGAGGGAGCAGGGUGCGGGGGCCACCGGCUUCCUCGAAUGGUGGGUCAUCGAGCUGCAGGAGUGCCGGACCGACUGCAACCUGCUGCCCAUGGUCAUUUUCAGCGACAAGGUCAGCCCACCGAGCCUCGGCUUCCUGGCUGGCUACGGGUGAGUGAGUGGCUGGGGGGGCACCCCGCGGCUUGGGGGGCUCUGGGCGGCCCCAGGACUCACCAGCUUCCCCCGCAGCAUCAUGGGGCUGUACGUGUCCAUCGUGCUGGUCAUCGG
rnacentral:sRNA from 1 species